rnacentral:rRNA from 1 species
GGGUUGUGAGGUUAAGCGACUAAGCGUACACGGUGGAUGCCCUGGCAGUCAGAGGCGAUGAAGGACGUGCUAAUCUGCGAUAAGCGUCGGUGAGGUGAUAUGAACCGUUAUAACCGGCGAUUUCCGAAUGGGGAAACCCAGUGUGUUUCGACACACUAUCAUUAACUGAAUCCAUAGGUUAAUGAGGCGAACCGGGGGAACUGAAACAUCUAAGUACCCCGAGGAAAAGAAAUCAACCGAGAUUCCCCCAGUAGCGGCGAGCGAACGGGGAGGAGCCCAGAGCCUGAAUCAGUGUGUGUGUUAGUGGAAGCGUCUGGAAAGGCGCGCGAUACAGGGUGACAGCCCCGUACACAAAAAUGCACAUAUUGUGAGCUCGAUGAGUAGGGCGGGACACGUGGUAUCCUGUCUGAAUAUGGGGGGCCCAUCCUCCAAGGCUAAAUACUCCUGACUGACCGAUAGUGAACCAGUACCGUGAGGGAAAGGCGAAAAGAACCCCGGCGAGGGGAGUGAAAAAGAACCUGAAACCGUGUACGUACAAGCAGUGGGAGCCUCUUAAUGGGGUGACUGCGUACCUUUUGUAUAAUGGGUCAGCGACUUAUAUUCUGUAGCAAGGUUAACCGAAUAGGGGAGCCGAAGGGAAACCGAGUCUUAACUGGGCGUUAAGUUGCAGGGUAUAGACCCGAAACCCGGUGAUCUAGCCAUGGGCAGGUUGAAGGUUGGGUAACACUAACUGGAGGACCGAACCGACUAAUGUUGAAAAAUUAGCGGAUGACUUGUGGCUGGGGGUGAAAGGCCAAUCAAACCGGGAGAUAGCUGGUUCUCCCCGAAAGCUAUUUAGGUAGCGCCUCGUGAAUUCAUCUCCGGGGGUAGAGCACUGUUUCGGCAAGGGGGUCAUCCCGACUUACCAACCCGAUGCAAACUGCGAAUACCGGAGAAUGUUAUCACGGGAGACACACGGCGGGUGCUAACGUCCGUCGUGAAGAGGGAAACAACCCAGACCGCCAGCUAAGGUCCCAAAGUCAUGGUUAAGUGGGAAACGAUGUGGGAAGGCCCAGACAGCCAGGAUGUUGGCUUAGAAGCAGCCAUCAUUUAAAGAAAGCGUAAUAGCUCACUGGUCGAGUCGGCCUGCGCGGAAGAUGUAACGGGGCUAAACCAUGCACCGAAGCUGCGGCAGCGACACUAUGUGUUGUUGGGUAGGGGAGCGUUCUGUAAGCCUGUGAAGGUGGCCUGUGAGGGUUGCUGGAGGUAUCAGAAGUGCGAAUGCUGACAUAAGUAACGAUAAAGCGGGUGAAAAGCCCGCUCGCCGGAAGACCAAGGGUUCCUGUCCAACGUUAAUCGGGGCAGGGUGAGUCGACCCCUAAGGCGAGGCCGAAAGGCGUAGUCGAUGGGAAACAGGUUAAUAUUCCUGUACUUGGUGUUACUGCGAAGGGGGGACGGAGAAGGCUAUGUUGGCCGGGCGACGGUUGUCCCGGUUUAAGCGUGUAGGCUGGUUUUCCAGGCAAAUCCGGAAAACCAAGGCUGAGGCGUGAUGACGAGGCACUACGGUGCUGAAGCGACAAAUGCCCUGCUUCCAGGAAAAGCCUCUAAGCAUCAGGUAACAUCAAAUCGUACCCCAAACCGACACAGGUGGUCAGGUAGAGAAUACCAAGGCGCUUGAGAGAACUCGGGUGAAGGAACUAGGCAAAAUGGUGCCGUAACUUCGGGAGAAGGCACGCUGAUAUGUAGGUGAAGCGACUUGCUCGUGGAGCUGAAAUCAGUCGAAGAUACCAGCUGGCUGCAACUGUUUAUUAAAAACACAGCACUGUGCAAACACGAAAGUGGACGUAUACGGUGUGACGCCUGCCCGGUGCCGGAAGGUUAAUUGAUGGGGUUAGCGGCAACGCGAAGCUCUUGAUCGAAGCCCCGGUAAACGGCGGCCGUAACUAUAACGGUCCUAAGGUAGCGAAAUUCCUUGUCGGGUAAGUUCCGACCUGCACGAAUGGCGUAAUGAUGGCCAGGCUGUCUCCACCCGAGACUCAGUGAAAUUGAACUCGCUGUGAAGAUGCAGUGUACCCGCGGCAAGACGGAAAGACCCCGUGAACCUUUACUAUAGCUUGACACUGAACAUUGAGCCUUGAUGUGUAGGAUAGGUGGGAGGCUUUGAAGUGUGGACGCCAGUCUGCAUGGAGCCGACCUUGAAAUACCACCCUUUAAUGUUUGAUGUUCUAACGUUGGCCCGUAAUCCGGGUUGCGGACAGUGUCUGGUGGGUAGUUUGACUGGGGCGGUCUCCUCCUAAAGAGUAACGGAGGAGCACGAAGGUUGGCUAAUCCUGGUCGGACAUCAGGAGGUUAGUGCAAUGGCAUAAGCCAGCUUGACUGCGAGCGUGACGGCGCGAGCAGGUGCGAAAGCAGGUCAUAGUGAUCCGGUGGUUCUGAAUGGAAGGGCCAUCGCUCAACGGAUAAAAGGUACUCCGGGGAUAACAGGCUGAUACCGCCCAAGAGUUCAUAUCGACGGCGGUGUUUGGCACCUCGAUGUCGGCUCAUCACAUCCUGGGGCUGAAGUAGGUCCCAAGGGUAUGGCUGUUCGCCAUUUAAAGUGGUACGCGAGCUGGGUUUAGAACGUCGUGAGACAGUUCGGUCCCUAUCUGCCGUGGGCGCUGGAGAACUGAGGGGGGCUGCUCCUAGUACGAGAGGACCGGAGUGGACGCAUCACUGGUGUUCGGGUUGUCAUGCCAAUGGCACUGCCCGGUAGCUAAAUGCGGAAGAGAUAAGUGCUGAAAGCAUCUAAGCACGAAACUUGCCCCGAGAUGAGUUCUCCCUGAGACUUAGAGUCUCCUGAAGGAACGUUGAAGACGACGACGUUGAUAGGCCGGGUGUGUAAGCGCAGCGAUGCGUUGAGCUAACCGGUACUAAUGAACCGUGAGGCUUAACCUUACAACGCCGAAG